rnacentral:lncRNA from 1 species
GGCAUUUUGUCUAUAAAUCAGGCACGACCUCAUAAUUAACUCAAGGUUGCUAUAUAAAGUACUGUAAUUUACUUACUUCAACACCCUGUAGGAUAAAAAGUGUGUGCCCUUAAGUCAAAACCUAUUUGAAAGUGUCCAGCAUCUCAAAAUGAUGCCACCUGCCUCCAAUGGUCCAAGGUCCAGAAACCAGCGACCAUCCAAGCUCCUCUUUCAGAGUAUGAAACGGGGCUUCUACAAGCCAGUUAUGGAAAGUAUCUCUCUUGUGUAAAAUUCCCAAACAGUUGUCACUAGAGACUUUGGUUCACAUGAAAAACCAGUAAAGGAAAAAAAUUCUGGUUAGAGAAAUCUGACUGGAAAUCUGACCAGAGAAAUCUGUCAAGCCAGUGCUAUUUCUGGAUCACAGUUUUUUACAGAGAGAGGGCCUGUUGGAACGAUUUUGAAGUGAUGACUGGAAGGUUUGACUCCCUCUAAGGAAUCUUGCUGGUGUUUGGAAGUGUCCGAUCUACGUUAUGCACGUGUUCUGUCUAUGAGGCGCUUCUCCACCCACUGUGUCCUUCAACCUUGCCAUGGCAGCUUUGGCCACUGGGGAUAUUGUUGACCUGGGGAACCCCACCCACUCUCCUACCCCCUCGAACCCAAUCCCUUCUCUUUUUACAAAUCAACCAAAUACUUUUUAAUGUGUUUUAUCCUUAAAUAAACUUUGUGUUCAAGUAUU